rnacentral:lncRNA from 1 species
AAGAGAAGAAGCACCUAAAAAUUAACCUUUAAAAAAAGAAGCAGGUUUAGGAUUCAGAUACCAUUAGGCUAAUGCUUUCACGGAAACAGAAUUAUGAGCCAAAUAAUUUCUCAUUUUGUCCUCACUCUUGUAAUCUGUGCAGGGUUAGCUACCAAAAGGAAAUACCAGUCUGCUGAGACAAUGAAACGGAGGACAGCCUAUGUGAAUACUGUGGAUACUUCAAGAUAUUCCCUACAAUUAUGUCCCUGCUGAUACAUUGUCCAUCUUCCAGUGAUUCUUCUCACUCUGAAAUGAAACUGUCAAAUCCAUAAUGAGCCGAAGGAGCAUUGGGCUUCUUGAAUGAUGAAAAAGCAGUAUUUAGCAGAAGCCACCACUGUGAGGUCGACUGACCCCUUUCAGAAUGGCACUGAAAAGGCAGUUUUGGAAGUUAGGGAAGGAAUUGCCAGAUUGGUUUUGCCUAGUGAAGCACUGGCUUUCAGAGCGUGGAAAGCACCUCUCCCCUGAUUCUCCUGAAUCACUUAGGUUACUGAAGGCAUGACCCUCAAGAUAUGAGCACAGGCUACUCAAAGAACUAGGAUGCUGCAAGUUUAUAAUAUAUUUUGUAUCCUUUUGUCUGCAUGAAUUCUGAAUUCCAGUUGCUAUUGAAUGGAUAUCAGGCACUAGGUAGUUGGUGGUUU